rnacentral:rRNA from 1 species
UACGUAGGGGGCAAGCGUUGUCCGGAAUCAUUUGGGCGUAAAGAGCGUGUAGGCGGCCCGAUAAGUCCGCUGUGAAAGUCCAGGGCUCAACCCUGGAAUGCCGGUGGAUACUGUCGGGCUCGAAUCCGGAAGAGGUGAGUGGAAUUCCUGGUGUAGCGGUGAAAUGCGUAGAUAUCAAGUGGAACACCAGUGGCGAAGGCGAGUCCCUGGAAAACUCCUGACACUGAGGCACGAAAAGCUAGGGGAGCAAACAGG